rnacentral:hammerhead_ribozyme from 1 species
AUCCAGCUGACGAGUCCCAAAUAAAACGAUACGCGUAUCCUGGAC